CCUACGGGAGGCAGCAGUGAGGAAUAUUGGUCAAUGGGCGUAAGCCUGAACCAGCCAAGUCGCGUGAGGGAUGAAGGUUCUAUGGAUCGUAAACCUCUUUUAUAAGGGAAUAAAGUGCGGGACGUGUCCCUUUUUGUAUGUACCUUAUGAAUAAGGAUCGGCUAACUCCGUGCCAGCAGCCGCGGUAAUACGGAGGAUCCGAGCGUUAUCCGGAUUUAUUGGGUUUAAAGGGUGCGUAGGUGGGCUUUUAAGUCAGCGGUGAAAGUCUGUGGCUCAACCAUAGAAUUGCCGUUGAAACUGGGAGGCUUGAGUAUGUUUGAGGCAGGCGGAAUGCGUGGUGUAGCGGUGAAAUGCUUAGAUAUCACGCAGAACCCCGAUUGCGAAGGCAGCCUGCCAAGCCAUGACUGACGCUGAUGCACGAAAGCGUGGGGAUCAAACAGGAUUAGAUACCCCAGUAGUC
rnacentral:rRNA from 1 species